rnacentral:rRNA from 1 species
CAUAGCGACUAUCGUGGCAUAUCAAUAAGCGGAGGAAAAGAAACUAACAAGGAUUCCCUUAGUAACGGCGAGUGAAGCGGGAAGAGCUCAAAUUUGAAAUCUUCAAGGUUUUACCUUGACGAAUUGUAGUUUAAAGAAGUGUUUUCUGUUGAAGUUUUGGUAAAAGUUCUUUGGAAUAGGACAUCAUAGAGGGUGAGAAUCCCGUAUUUGACCAUUAUUUUCAGCUGUGUGAUACACUUUCAAAAAGUCGGAUUGUUUGGGAAUGCAGUCCAAAAUGGGUGGUGAAUUUCAUCUAAAGCUAAAUAUUGGCGAGAGACCGAUAGCGAACAAGUACCGUGAGGGAAAGAUGAAAAGAACUUUGAAAAGAGAGUUAAGCAGUGCGUGAAAUUGUCAAAAGGGAAGCGUUUGACACCAGUGUUGUUUAGUUGAAAAUCAAUUCAAUAAUUUUUGAUUUUAAGUAGUAUUGACUUCAUCAGCUUGCUGCUUUCUUUUCAGGAAAUUAUUGAAUGCACUUUUCAGUUAACAAGUCAACAUCAAUUUCUUUUGUUGUAAAAGGGUAAGAGGAAGGUGGCUUACGCUUCGGCGUAAGUGUUUAUAGCCUUUUACCUCUGCAAUCGGAGAGAUUGAGGACAGCAGCGUAGACUCCUUCAGGGGUUAGAUACACUUGUGCUAAGCUAUAGCCUUGUAUAGACAACUUGUUGACUAUGCUCAGUCAUGUAGCUUACUCGCUGAUGCUAUUUUACCUACGCUUAGGAUGUUGAUAUGCAUGACUGAUAU